rnacentral:rRNA from 1 species
AACGAACGCUGGCGGCAUGCCUAACACAUGCAAGUCGAACGAGACCUUCGGGUCUAGUGGCGCACGGGUGCGUAACGCGUGGGAACCUGCCCUUAGGUUCGGAAUAACUCCCCGAAAGGGGUGCUAAUACCGGAUAAUGUCUUCGGACCAAAGAUUUAUCGCCCUUGGAUGGGCCGGCGUUGGAUUAGCUAGUUGGUAGGGUAAAAGCCUACCAAGGCGACGAUCCAUAGCUGGUCUGAGAGGAUGAUCAGCCACACUGGGACUGAGACACGGCCCAGACUCCUACGGGAGGCAGCAGUGGGGAAUAUUGGACAAUGGGCGAAAGCCUGAUCCAGCAAUGCCGCGUGAGUGAUGAAGGCCUUAGGGUUGUAAAGCUCUUUUACCCGGGAUGAUAAUGACAGUACCGGGAGAAUAAGCUCCGGCUAACUCCGUG